rnacentral:lncRNA from 1 species
UUGACUAAAAGUUAUUAUGCAUUUAUCAUUGUUGUUUUAUAAUAUUCCUACAUGAACUUACUAGAUAGAUCACAGGAUCAGAUAAUGUAAUAUUCACUUAACUAGUUGUUAUGUUUUGGUGCAAUGCUCCACUCUACGUGUAUACUUCUUGUGUUUCUCCUUCUUUUGGUGAAAGAUGUGUUUUUGCAAAACACAAUUUAAUUCUAAAGUUUGAUGGGAAAAAAGAGUGAAAUGAUUGUGUGUUUAUACCUGGGAGACAAUUAUCUUAUUUAUAGAGUGGCUAAAAUUUAAUAUGUUCCAUGCAAUUGAUAUUUCCUCUCUGGUGAUCUCUUGAAUAUCAAGUGAAAAAUUAUGUGUUGAUUUUUUUAUUAAAACCCAUUUUGAGAUAGGUUUUAUUAACUAUUUAGUUUUAAUAAAAUCCAUAGAUAUCAAAAUAGUGUGAACACGUCGUUGCUCAAAGAAGUGCGGAAAAUAAAAUUUUUGGUUUUCAGGGAUGACCUCAGAUUCAACUUAUCGCGGUGUGCCAUGUUCAUAAACUGAGGUAGACAUGUCAAAUUUCGUGGCAUUGGUGUUUGAAAUUCUUCAUGUUUUGUACUUUGAGUUGUAGAUUUUCUUAGUAAACGAUCCAUAAUAUAUUUGAGUUGGGAUACUUAGGAUCAUACAUUUAAACAAGUACCCAAACCCUUUUGAUGUUUAAUAAGUAUUCGGUUUAAAAAGUAUUUAAAAAAUUAAAAAAUUGAAUGUUUUACUAGAUGGAAUUUAUC